AUCACUUCUCAGCCUUUUGGCUAAGAUCAAGUGUAGAAUACAGGUUUUCAAAGUAGGUAUUGAUGAUCUAGAUUUCUGCAGUAUCUGUUGUGAUUUCACCUUUCCAGUCCUAAUUGCACGAAUUUGAGUCUUUUCUUU
rnacentral:snRNA from 1 species